rnacentral:rRNA from 1 species
AUUGAACGCUGGCGGAAUGCUUUACACAUGCAAGUCGAACGGCAGCACGGGGGCAACCCUGGUGGCGAGUGGCGAACGGGUGAGUAAUACAUCGGAACGUGCCCAGUCGUGGGGGAUAACGUAGCGAAAGCUACGCUAAUACCGCAUACGAACUCUGGUUGAAAGCGGGGGAUCGCAAGACCUCGCGCGAUUGGAGCGGCCGAUGGCAGAUUAGGUAGUUGGUGGGGUAAAGGCCUACCAAGCCGACGAUCUGUAGCUGGUCUGAGAGGACGACCAGCCACACUGGGACUGAGACACGGCCCAGACUCCUACGGGAGGCAGCAGUGGGGAAUUUUGGACAAUGGGCGCAAGCCUGAUCCAGCCAUUCCGCGUGCAGGAUGAAGGCCCUCGGGUUGUAAACUGCUUUUGUACGGAACGAAAAGGCUUCCUCUAAUACAGGGGGCUGAUGACGGUACCGUAAGAAUAAGCACCGGCUAACCACGUGCCAGCCGCCGCAGUAAGAC